rnacentral:rRNA from 1 species
CAAUAGCGUAUAUUAAAGUUGUUGCAGUUAAAAAGCUCGUAGUUGGAUUUCUUGGAGGGUGCCAAUGUCCGCUACGGCGUGCGCAGCGGCGCCCUUCCAUCCUUCUGUUAACGCCUCUUGGCAUUCGUUUGCUGGUGGCGGGCUCAGAUAUUUUACCUUGAGAAAAUUAGAGUGUUUCAGGCAGGCUAGGCCGGAAUACAUUAGCAUGGAAUAAUGGAGCAGGACUAUGGUCUCUUUGUUGGUUUGAGGGACUGCAGUAAUGAUUAAUAGGGACAGUUGGGGGCAUUAGUAUUUAAUUGUCAGAGGUGGAAUUCUCAGAUUUGUUAAAGACUAACUUAUGCGAAAGCAUUUGCCAAGGAUGUUUUCAUUA